ACGUACAGGUGAGAACAGACAGAAACCUAGUACAGACCCAACAACGUACAGGUGAGAACAGACAGAAACCUAGUACAGACCCAACAACGUACAGGUGAGAACAUACAGAAACCUAGUAUAGACCCAACAACGUACAGGUGAGAACAGACAGAAACCUAGUACAGACCCAACAACGUACAGGUGAGAACAGACAGAAACCUAGUACAGACCCAACAACGUACAGGUGAGAACAGACAGAAACCUAGUACAGACCCAACAACGUACAGGUGAGAACAUACAGAAACCUAGUACAGACC